UGGGAGAGGGGGAGGGGCUGCUGAGGAAGGCCACAGGGGCUAAGGAGGAUUUCCUCAGAGCUUUUGGGAAGCUAUACGUUCCUGGCCCCGAGGUAAAGCUCCCACAGGCUGCUUGACCCAACAGAGCAGCUCCUACCCACUGGGAUUCUCGGUCUGCAGGAAUCUGGCAUCCACCUGGGGAGCAUCUGGCUGAGGCAGCCUGGAGACAGGCACGCACCAGAAGACUUCUGGUUCCAUCCAGGCCCAAGGACCACUGAACUGGAGCGGUCUUCUCCAUCCCCCAGCAAGCCUACUCCCCCCUCACCUGCUGUGACCCAGACCCUUGCAUAAGAACACAGCUGUUCUUGAUGAGGAAACUGAGGCUGAGAGGGUAGAGAACUUUGCCUGAGGUCACUCAGCAGGGACCCACCCAUCACAGUAAAUGCCAGCACUGCUGAUGCCAAAACAAUGUUAUUUGUAGGCCCUCGGAAUUUGUGACCUGAAGGAAGAAGAGCAGGGCCGUGGGAAGUAUGUAACCAGUGUCAUGCCCCUGGUCCCAAGGAAGCAGUGGCUUGGAUUGCAGAGUUCAGCUGGCCAUCAUCCACCAGCCGGGGGACUGUGCACAUCAGUUAACCUCUCCUCUCAGGCCUUGAAAAGCACCAGGCUUAGUACACGUUUGUUAAAUGAAUGCACUGCAGUUUUUUUGCUUGUUAAAGGCAGGUAAUAAUAAUGAUAUUGCUGACUAAGGGCUCCCAUCCACUCCCAGUGAGCCCGGUGCCCCCCCGGGCCUCCUCAGUGAGCUGAGGAGGCUCAGCAGUGCCUGCACGUCCCCUCGCCACAAUGUCAUGUGCCACCUCUUCAAAGGAGGGAUGUACCAGCUAGUGGACGUGACCUUGACUGCAAAGGGCGGCACGCAGCUGAUGUAAUGGUCGCUUAAGUGUUCACAAAUGCCUGAACACCCUGUCCUACCUGGUCCUACCUGGAUGCUGGCCUCAGUAAGCUCCUGGGCUCAUUGAAGAUGAACCUAGCAGUAGUAUUUACACCACUUGUUGUGUGCCCACUGUGGGCCCGGCGCCAUGCCGAGUGCUCUAUGGAUGUGAGAUGAGAACACUGAAGCAGUUUUUUCUAAAGAUAGCUGCCUGGCACAGUGGCUCACAUCUGUAGUCCCAGCAUUUGGGGAGGCCAAGGCAGGUGGAUCACUUGAGGCCAGGAAUUCAAGACCAGCAUGGCCAACAUGAGACGGGGGUUUCACUGUGUUAACCAGGAUGGUCUCGAUCUCCUGACCUCGUGAUCUACCCGCCUCAGCCUCCGAAAGUGCUGGGAUUAGAGUGCUGGGAGAGAAAAGCAUACGACAUAGACAGGGAGGUCAAGCUCCACCACGCAGAUGAGGUGCAGGCCACCAGUCUUCCUCUGCCACAUCUCUUUCUGAAAAGGACUUCACAUUCACCCUUGCAAUCCAUGUGGGGACACUGUUGGAUAGGAGGCGUGGUCCCAGCGUGGUCUCCCUGUCUGGGCCUCUGCCUAUGCCAAAUGUUUGCCUUACGCUGCACACUCAAGAGGUUCCAUGUAUACAGAUGGGAAUUCCAGAGCUACAGAAAAGGCAGCAAGCACCAUGAUUUAAGCUAACCAGUGUGGAUUCACACCUUCCUCUCUCUCUAUCAGUGGCAGAACUACCAGCUAGAGUAAGAAGUGGUUGAUCCAGGACCUAAACAUUCUGGAAACUCUUGCCCACUUCUGGGAGAAAUGACCCAAUCCAUAGUACUAAGCACACCUUAACUUUCGUAGGACGCAGGCAAGUUGUCAUACCGUGUGCCUAAAUAUAGAAAAAUGAUCCACUGGACUAAUAAAGUGUUAAAUAAAA
ensembl:lncRNA LINC02395 long intergenic non-protein coding RNA 2395